rnacentral:rRNA from 1 species
UACGUAGGGUGCGAGCGUUAAUCGGAAUUACUGGGCGUAAAGGGUGCGCAGGCGGUUCUGCAAGUCAGGCGUGAAAUCCCCGGGCUUAACCUGGGAAUGGCGCUUGAAACUACGGGACUGGAGUAUGGCAGAGGGAGGUGGAAUUCCACGUGUAGCGGUGAAAUGCGCAGAUAUCAGGAGGAACACCGGUGGCGAAGGCGGGUCUCUGGGCCGAAAUUGACGCUGAGGAGCGAAAGCGUGGGGAGCAAACAGG